ACGCAUGAUUAUGACGUGAAGAUGCGGAACGUGAACAAGUUCAUCGAACACGGUGACAAGGUGAAAGUCACGCUGCGUUUUCGCGGACGUGAAAUGGCUCACCAGAACCUCGGCAUGGACCUCCUCAAGCGCGUUCAGGAAGACGUCGAGGAAAUCGCCAAGGUCGAAGCUUUUCCGCGCCUCGAAGGGCGCCAGAUGCUGAUGGUGCUCGCACCCAAGUAAAUCCAGACUAUCGGGCUGAGGGGACCGACAGGACAUGACCGCACGCAAGAUCGGCCUUGUCCUCGGUCCCUUUGCCUUUGCCUUGACCGUAUUCACCGCA
rnacentral:misc_RNA from 1 species